rnacentral:misc_RNA from 1 species
AUGGCUCCACGUGGAAACCAAAUGUUGGGCAAUGCCCAUUUCCGCAAGCACUGGCACAAGCGCAUAAAGACCUGGUUCGACCAGCCAGCUCGCAAACUCCGCAGAAGACAGAACCGUCAAGCUAAGGCUGUCGAAAUCGCUCCUCGCCCAGUUGCUGGACUUCUCAGAUCUGUCGUCCGUUGCCCACAGAAGAGAUACAACACCAAGACUCGUCUUGGACGUGGUUUCUCUCUUCAAGAGCUCAAGGCCGCUGAGGAGAAUAAGUAA